AUUGAACGCUGGCGGCAUGCCUUACACAUGCAAGUCGAACGGCAGCACGGGUGCUUGCACCUGGUGACGAGUGGCGAACGGGUGAGUAAUACAUCGGAACGUACCUUAUCGUGGGGGAUAACGCAGCGAAAGCUGUGCUAAUACCGCAUACGCCCUGAGGGGGAAAGCGGGGGAUCGCAAGACCUCGCGCGAUUAGAGCGGCCGAUGCCUGAUUAGCUAGUUGGUGGGGUAAAAGCCCACCAAGGCGACGAUCAGUAGCUGGUCUGAGAGGACGAUCAGCCACACUGGGACUGAGACACGGCCCAGACUCCUACGGGAGGCAGCAGUGGGGAAUUUUGGACAAUGGGGGCAACCCUGAUCCAGCAAUGCCGCGUGAGUGAAGAAGGCCUUCGGGUUGUAAAGCUCUUUUGUCAGGGAAGAAACACCGGCUCUAACACAGUCCGGGAAUGACGGUACCUGAAGAAUAAGCACCGGCUAACUACGUGCCAGCCGCCGCAGUAA
rnacentral:rRNA from 1 species